rnacentral:misc_RNA from 1 species
GAUGAAGAAGGUAGCGAAAUGCGAUAAGUAAUGUGAAUUGCAGAAUUCAGUGAAUCAUCGAAUCUUUGAACGCACAUUGCGCCCUCUGGUAUUCCGGGGGGCAUGCCUGUUCGAUCGUCAUUAUAACCACUCAAGCUCUCGCUUGGUAUUGGGGUUCGCGGUUCCGCGGCCCCUAAAAUCAGUGGCGGUGCCUGUCGGCUCUACGCGUAGUAAUACUCCUCGCGAUUGAGUCCGGCAGGUCUACUUGCCAGCAACCCCCAAUUUUUACAGGUUGACCUCGGAUCAGGUAGGGAUACCCGCUGAACUUAAGCAUAUCAAUAAGCGGAGGA